rnacentral:rRNA from 1 species
AAUAGAUACCCAGGUAGUCCACGCCCUAAACGAUGUCUACUAGUUGUCGGGUCUUAAUUGACUUGGUAACGCAGCUAACGCGUGAAGUAGACCGCCUGGGGAGUACGGUCGCAAGAUUAAAACUCAAAGGAAUUGACGGGGACCCGCACAAGCGGUGGAUGAUGUGGAUUAAUUCGACGCAACGCGAAGAACCUUACCUGGGCUUGACAUGCGGGGUGAAACCGUGGAAACACGGCGCUCUUCGGAGCCCGCACAGGUGGUGCAUGGCUGUCGUCAGCUCGUGCCGUGAGGUGUUGCCUUAAGUGGCGCAACGAGCGCAACCCCUGUCCCUAGUUGCCAUCGGGUAAAGCCGGGAACUCUAGGGAGACUGCCGGUGCCAAACCGGAGGAAGGUGGGGAUGACGUCAAGUCAUCAUGCCCCUUAUGUCCAGGGCUGCACACAUGCUACAAUGCGAGGUACAGAGGGCUGCGAUCCUGCAAAGGGGAGCGAAUCCCAAAAACGCCUCGCUCAGUUCGGAUCGGGGUCUGCAACUCGACCCC